ACGUAGGAGGCUAGCGUUAUCCGGAUUUACUGGGCGUAAAGCGCGUGCAGGUGGUUUCGUAAGUUGGAUGUGAAAGCUCCUGGCUUAACUGGGAGAGGUCGUUCAAAACUGCGAGGCUUGAGAGUGGUAGAGGGAGGUGGAAUUCCGGGUGUAGUGGUGAAAUGCGUAGAUAUCCGGAGGAACACCAGUGGCGAAAGCGGCCUCCUGGACCAUUUCUGACACUCAGACGCGAAAGCUAAGGUAGCAAACGG
rnacentral:rRNA from 1 species